CCAGGAACUUCUGGCCACGCUGCGCGAACCCCGCCGCCCCCCGCCCCCACCCCGGCGCCCGGCGGGUGUGCGGCUCGGGCUUCCCUUUCUUCGCCUCGCCGAGCCUCGGGCACGACCCCCGAGGCGGCGGCGGCCGCCACUCACCAUAUUACAGAUGGAGGCGAUGUUUCGGACAGUCAUUAGUCUAAAGGUUGCAGCGAUCCCGCACCGCCAUCUUUAUAAGAAGAAGGACCACUAAAAUCAGCUGAGCUUCAGGCCUCCCCAAGUCUGGCUGCACCCGGUAUCAAGUCACAUUACAUCUCUGGUGCCCCCACCACGUGGCCAGAUGGGUGCUGACAGCAGGGAGAUUGAUAGGAAGGGCCCCGAGGAAGGCACCUUGCCGGCGAGAACCAGAACCACUAGGGCCCAGGGGAGGCGCCAGGACUGCGGCGGUUCCGAGAAGGAUGCUCCGCGCACGCCUAGCUCGUCCUCUAGCCACGGAAGAGCCCGAAGGACCUGGGCGGGCCGAGGACGGCGGGCGCCAAUGGCCGGGCCCGCUCCGCCCCCGGCCGGAGGCUGCCCGGGAUAGGCUGCCCGUCGCACCGCCUCCUUGUCAGCGCGCCGCCGUCCGGGUCUCUGCGCCGCACGCGCGUCGCCCGCCGGAGUCGCGCUGAGGGCGCCGCCGCGGCUACUUUGUGGCGGGUUCGGGGGGGUUCGGGGCCCGCCCGCCUGCGGCUGCGGGAGCCCGGCCCGACCCGGGGACCCGGGAGUCUGUCGCCGACGUGUGCGGGGCUGCAGCGGCCCGAGCUCUACGCGCAGGUUGAAUACUACAGGUGCAAGCCGCUGAAGCUGGAAUAUUCUGAUGCUGGUAUUUUUACUGACUUAUACCAAUUCUACAGUUUACAGUACACACUAAGGAGGUCAAAUAGUCUUCCAUAACUUGUAGCAGCCAUGUGUCCAGCGUGCCCCUCACAGGCCUUAGCAGCAGGACAGUGCUGGUGGUGAUCGGGCAGCAUAGCAGGUGUUUUACCUUCAUCUUGUCUUUCAGUUCUGACAACUCUGAGGUCGGUACUAUUCCCUUGUUUUACAGAUGAAGCAACAAAGAGGUUAGGUACUGGCUCAAGGUCCCGCCACAUGUGUAGCCCUGAACAAGGAUCCUUGUGUAACUUUCUGGCCAUGUGACCUCUUGGAAAGUCACUUCUCUUGGCAUUUAAUGUUCAAGUGGAGCUGUAGUAAUAUUGAGACAGAUGAGGCCAAUUUGGUCAGGGGAGACCACAGCAGAGCUAUUAAGAAUAUAAGGUCUUUAUAGUAUUUAAUUACAUCAAACCUAUGGAAGUUACCAAAAUUUGGCACAAAGGGGGCAUCUGUCAGCAUUUUAGGUGUUUUUGAUGAAUGAGCAUAAUGAGCUGUGAUGGGAUUUGAAGCAUACAGGGGUGAUAGAUUGUUAGAAUAUGAAAAUCUUCGAGGUGAUGGGGGAAGUUUUCAUACGGGAAGAAAUGAGACAGUGAAGCAAGAUGAACAGAGCCUAGUAUGUGCUAGUUCAUGCUGACCAGCCCUGAAUGUCUGCAAAUACCUCAUUUUCCAGAAGUUUUCAAUAAAGACUUAAUAUUCA